rnacentral:rRNA from 1 species
CAGUAGCCGCGGGAAUACAGAGGGUGCGAGCGUUAAUCGGAUUUACUGGGCGUAAAGCGUGCGUAGGCGGCUUCUUAAGUCGGAUGUGAAAUCCCUGAGCUUAACUUAGGAAUUGCAUUCGAUACUGGGAAGCUAGAGUAUGGGAGAGGAUGGUAGAAUUCCAGGUGUAGCGGUGAAAUGCGUAGAGAUCUGGAGGAAUACCGAUGGCGAAGGCAGCCAUCUGGCCUAAUACUGACGCUGAGGUACGAAAGCAUGGGGAGCAAACAGGAUUAGAUACCCCGGUAGUCCCUGUCUCUUAUAC